rnacentral:rRNA from 1 species
CCUACGGGCGGCAGCAGUGGGGGAUAUUGCACAAUGGGGGGAACCCUGAUGCAGCGACGCCGCGUGGGUGAAGAAGCGCCUCGGCGCGUAAAGCCCUGUCAGCAGGGAAGAAAAUGACGGUACCUGAAGAAGAAGCCCCGGCUAACUACGGGCCAGCAGCCGCGGUAAUACGUAGGGGGCAAGCGUUAGCCGGAUUUACUGGGUGUAAAGGGGGCGCAGACGGCGAUGCAAGCCAGGAGUGAAAGCCCGGGGCCCAACCCCGGGACUGCUCUUGGAACUGCGUGGCUAGAGUGCAGGAGGGGCAGGCGGAAUUCCUGGUGUAGCGGUGAAAUGCGUAGAUAUCAGGAGGAACACCAGUGGCGAAGGCGGCCUGCUGGACUGCAACUGACGUUGAGGCCCGAAAGCGUGGGGAGCAAACAGGAUUAGAUACCCCUGUAGUC